AGCAGUCGCCACGGGAAUACGGAGGGUGCAAGCGUUAAUCGGAAUUACUGGGCGUAAAGCGCACGCAGGCGGUCUGUCAAGUCGGAUGUGAAAUCCCCGGGCUCAACCUGGGAACUGCAUUCGAAACUGGCAGGCUAGAGUCUUGUAGAGGGGGGUAGAAUUCCAGGUGUAGCGGUGAAAUGCGUAGAGAUCUGGAGGAAUACCGGUGGCGAAGGCGGCCCCCUGGACAAAGACUGACGCUCAGGUGCGAAAGCGUGGGGAGCAAACAGGAUUAGAUACCCCAGUAGUCCCUGUCUCUUAUAC
rnacentral:rRNA from 1 species